rnacentral:tRNA from 1 species
GCGGGGAUGCCGGAGAGGCCAAACGGAACAGGUUUAGGCCCUGUUGGCUUAGUGCCUGCGAAGGUUCGAAUCCUUCUCCCCGCA